GUUGAUGGUGGGGCAGCAGGGCGCGGGAGGACGUGGGUCCUAGGGGUGUUCGGAAUCAUUGGGGGUAAAGGGUUGGCAGGGGUCUUGGUAAGUAGGAUGUGAAAGCCUUGGGGUUAACCCAAGAAGUGCAUUAAAAACUGCAAAGCUUGAGUAAUGAAGAGGGUCGUGGAAUUCCUGGUGUAGUGGUGAAAUACGUAGAUAUCAGGAGGAACACCGGUGGCGAAGGCGGCGACCUGGUCCUAUACUGACACUCAUACACGAAAGCGUGGGGAUCAAACAGGAUUAGAUACCCCGGUAGUC
rnacentral:rRNA from 1 species